GUUCCAUCUUUGCUUUAAGACCAGCCUGCUGCAAAAAACAAGUAGGUCAUUUUCCUCGAGCAUAAGACUGUAGAUAGCUUUUUCUUCCUCUUAAUCCAUGGAUACUGCUCAGUGCCCACAGGGGACUGGAUUGGCUAGAGCCAUGGAAAGUUCAAGGCCUACUACUUUAGAGAGAAAGGUAAGGCCUCAAAAGGAUCAAGCUUUGAAUUGCCCAAGGUGCAAUUCAACCAACACAAAAUUCUGUUACUACAACAAUUAUAGUCUCUCUCAGCCAAGAUACUUCUGCAAAACUUGUAGAAGGUACUGGACUGAAGGUGGUUCUCUAAGAAAUGUUCCUGUAGGUGGAGGUUCAAGAAAGAACAAGAGAUCAUCAUCAUCGUCAUCAACUUCUUCAUCUUCAUCAAAGAAAUUGCUUCCUGAUCUCACCAACCCACAACUUUCUCAUCAAAACCCUAAGAUCUAUCAAGGCAGAGAUCUCAACCUAGCUUAUCCCCCUUCAACUGAAGAUCAUGGUAAUAUUUCUAAGUUUGUUGAGGUACCUUAUACCAGCGGAAGCAAAACCCACAAUCUAAAACCCAGCUCUUCUUCAUCAUUAACACCAUCUCAUCAUGUAUCAGCCAUGGAGCUUCUCAAGACUGGUAUGAGUACAAGGGGAUUGGAUUCUUUCAUCUCGAUGCCUGUAGUUGAUUCAAAUACAGUUUACUCAACUGAGUUUUCUUUGCAAGAAUUCAAGCCAACCCAUAAUUUUUUCUUGGAAGGGUUUGAAAGCAGUCAUGGGUAUGAGAGUAUCCAAGGGGUGCAAGAAAAUGGUGCAAGGCUCUUGUUUCCCAUGGAGGAUUUGAAGCCAGUUCAAGGCAAUACUGAUCAAUAUGACCAAAAUAAAGGACAAGGUGAUCAUACAACUGGGUUUUGGAAUGGAAUGUAUUAGUUGCAUGAAGGAUGGAUCAUACAUAUGAUCCAAGAUACAUAACAAGAAAUUAAUUGGUGUUUCCACACCUUUUCUUUUCUUUUUUCUUUCACUUGGGGCUGGAGUGAUGAUUACUUGUUAAUCAAAAAAACUAACUGAUAGGGCACGUGGGUUUCUUUCCUGCUUUCAAUUUGAACUUGAAUUUCUUUUUAUUUUGGUCUUCCUUUAGUCUGUGUUGUUCAAUGUGGGUAUCUUUUGAAGCUUUAUUUUGGGUUGGCCAGUUUCAAGAAAGGCAAGGUGAAGAAGUGAAGACCUCUUAACAAGAGUUGCAUAUCUUGUUAGGCAGAGUUUGAGAGAGAGAGAUUUUAUUGUUCAUGUUCGUGUAAUUAACAGUUUGAUUAAGAGAUAUGGGGUUCUAUUGGUGUGUGCUUUCUUGAGCUCCAAGUGAGUUUUUUUUUUUUCUUUUCU
rnacentral:misc_RNA from 1 species